GACGUAGGGCGCGAGCGUUGUCCGGAUUUAUUGGGCGUAAAGAGCUCGUAGGCGGCUUGUCGCGUCGGAUGUGAAAGCCCGGGGCUUAACCUCGGGUCUGCAUUCGAUACGGGCAGGCUAGAGUUCGGUAGGGGAGAUCGGAAUUCCUGGUGUAGCGGUGAAAUGCGCAGAUAUCUGGAGGAACACCGGUGGCGAAGGCGGCGUUCUGGACUGUUACUGACACUGAGGAACGAAAGCCAGGGGAGCAAACGGG
rnacentral:rRNA from 1 species